GUGCCGCAGACAGUGUUGAAGGAGAGGUACGAGAGUGCUCCUGAAGAAGACGAGGUAGCCCACGUGGUGCCUGAUCUUGAGCACGAAGAUAUUGAUGACCCAGCAGACAGAUGGUGGGGUGAAGCAGUGCCGCCUGCACCAGCUGUGGCUGCUGUACCUCCUCAACGGCCAGCACAUUCCACUAAUGCGACCAGAGAAGAAACUUCAGUUAUACCACCACAACAGCACUUGCCAAAAGAAGAUCAAUUCGACGUUAUGUAUGUAUAUAUAGUCGCAGGUGUGGCUGCUCUCUGUAUUCUCUGCAUGAUUAUUGGAGUCAUUCGUUGUGUGAUCCGCAAACAAAAUGCUGAACAACCAAAGGGACCUGAUGUUUCUGCAACCACAGAUAUUCCGAACGGCUUUAACGAUAGCAUAUCAGAAGUAGACAACGAUAUAAACAUAACCAGUCUCUCAGGACCUGUGGACUUAGAUUCACAUGUGAAACAAGACGUGCAAAUUGCCAAUGUAGCUCUCAGUCCGAAUAUCAAUCGAUAUGUCGGUCGGCCAGUUCCUAACACAUAUCCUCAUGUAAGUAGUAACAUGUAUGGACAGGUAGCUGAAUUCCCUAUAGAAAUGCCCCUUCGAACUAUGCCACAUGGCACAUUAGGCCGAGGAGUUGCGGUUAAAACCCUUCCGAGAGUUCAUAUGCAAG